GCUUCGAUGACUACUACCACUGGUAUUAUCAGUUUGUCGACUGCUUUCUCUUGGUUGGGUUGACUCAUUAUCGCGCUCCAAUAACUGAGCUUUAUUCACAACAUCUGAAUACAGACAAAGUUUGUGAGAAAUGAGAUAUUGAUGUAUCUCGGGUUUCAAACCUCUAAAAAACAUCCACGUCAUUCUCUCCUCAUUAUCAACCAAAUGGGACGCAAAUCAGGACAACUCGACAAACUUAGCUUCGUACUACGACACGGUCAUAUUGUUUUGCUCCAGCUUGAUGAACUCCACCUCUUUCAUGUGACGAAUACUUUCGGGAAAGUACUUAUCGUUGAACAGUUCUAUGAACUUUUCCCAAGACAUCUUCAGUGCGGCAGGCUGAGUACACUUUACAGAUUCCCACCAGUAAUCUGCCUUUUCUCGCAACAUAAAGGUGGCAAAGGGAACCUUUUUCUCCUCGGAGCAUCCCAAUGCAUCAAAUAUCUUGAUGAUCUUCUU
rnacentral:lncRNA from 1 species